rnacentral:rRNA from 1 species
GUGGGGAAUCUUGCGCAAUGGGCGAAAGCCUGACGCAGCAACGCCGCGUGCGGGAUGAAGGCCUUCGGGUUGUAAACCGCUUUCAGCAGGGACGAAAUCAGACGGUACCUGCAGAAGAAGCCCCGGCCAACUACGUGCCAGCAGCCGCGGUAACACGUAGGGGGCGAGCGUUGUCCGGAUUUAUUGGGCGUAAAGAGCUCGUAGGCGGCUUAGUAAGUCGGGUGUGAAACCUCCAGGCUCAACCUGGAGACGCCACCCGAUACUGCUGUGGCUAGAGUCCGGUAGGGGAGCAGGGAACUCCUGGUGUAGCGGUGAAAUGCGCAGAUAUCAGGAAGAACACCAGCGGCGAAGGCGCUGCUCUGGGCCGGAACUGACGCUGAGGAGCGAAAGCGUGGGGAGCAAACAGGAUUAGAAACCCUUGUAGUCC